GUGGGGAAUAUUGGACAAUGGGCGAAAGCCUGAUCCAGCCAUGCCGCGUGUGUGAAGAAGGUCUUCGGAUUGUAAAGCACUUUAAGUUGGGAGGAAGGGCAGUAAGUUAAUACCUUGCUGUUUUGACGUUACCGACAGAAUAAGCACCGGCUAACUUCGUGCCAGCAGCCGCGGUAAUACGAAGGGUGCAAGCGUUAAUCGGAAUUACUGGGCGUAAAGCGCGCGUAGGUGGUUCAGCAAGUUGAAGGUGAAAUCCCCGGGCUCAACCUGGGAACUGCCUCCAAAACUACUGAGCUAGAGUACGGUAGAGGGUAGUGGAAUUUCCUGUGUAGCGGUGAAAUGCGUAGAUAUAGGAAGGAACACCAGUGGCGAAGGCGACUACCUGGACUGAUACUGACACUGAGGUGCGAAAGCGUGGGGAGCAAACAGGAUUAGAAACCCUGGUAGUCC
rnacentral:rRNA from 1 species